rnacentral:rRNA from 1 species
AACGAACGCUGGCGGCAUGCCUAACACAUGCAAGUCGAACGAGACCUUCGGGUCUAGUGGCGCACGGGUGCGUAACGCGUGGGAACCUGCCCUUAGGUUCGGAAUAACUCCCCGAAAGGGGUGCUAAUACCGGAUAAUGUCUUCGGACCAAAGAUUUAUCGCCUUUGGAUGGGCCCGCGUUGGAUUAGCUAGUUGGUAGGGUAAAAGCCUACCAUGGCGACGAUCCAUAGCUGGUCUGAGAGGAUGAUCAACCACACUGGGACUGAGACACGGCCCAGACUCCUACGGGGGGCAGCAGUGGGGAAUAUUGGACAAUGGGCGAAAGCCUGAUCCAGCAAUGCCGCGUGAGUGAUGAAGGCCUUAGGGUUGUAAAGCUCUUUUACCCGGGAUGAUAAUGACAGUACCGGGAGAAUAAGCUCCGGCUAACUCCGUG